AUAACGUAUGUAUGUUUGAUAUUGUCCAUGAAGUCUAAAGAUAUAUGCUCUACAAGUACUUCUAGGGAUACCUUUAAAUAAUGGAUUGUAAAUCCUUUUAAUAUACAGAAUAAGAUACGAUGAAGAAGCAAAAGAAAAAGGUAAACAACCCAAAAUAAUCAUUUUUGCUAGUUCCCCCCGAUCCCUCAUUUUAUCAUAUUUUAAUAGACCUCCAGUAGUAGGGGUAAUAGUUGUUUGACUUCCAUCCCCAUUAACUCCCCAUUCUAUAAGAUGGAUAGCCGACAUAUG
rnacentral:lncRNA from 1 species